rnacentral:lncRNA from 1 species
GGUCUUGUCCUUCCCUCCAAAGGAGGUCUCCCGCGGCAGGGGUGCUCCCAGCCUGGUGGCUACGGGAUCGGAGCCUCAAGCUUCUUCCCAGAGGGCGCUGCUAGCUCGGGGGCUAGCUCACCCUGCCCCCCCCCCCCCCCCCAGCGAUCCCCAGGCUGCGCCCCGGCCCAGUUUCGCCCAGUCUCGCCCGAGUGGGGGUGGAGGGGCAGGGGGACGGGAGAGCGGCGGCGGCGGCGGCCGGGCGCCCUCCCUCGGCCCCUCCCUGGGGCUCGGCCGCCGCGGCCUCCCCGCCAGCCCUCACUUUGCAAACUUUCGGACUUUUCCUCCACUGCGUCGAGGGGAAGGCGGCGGCUGACGGAGCCCCGGGGGCGAGGCGGCGGCGGGGGGGACUCUAGGCGCUCCGGCCAGGGGUCCCCGCGCGGGGGGCUCCUGGAGGCUCGGGCCCCUAACCUCGGCGGGUCGGGGAGCGAGCGCGAGCGCGGGGGGCCGGGGGAGGGGGUCCCCGCGGGGUGGGGGUGCUCCAGGAGCUCCGGCGAGGGGUCCCCGCGGGGUGGGGGUGCUCCAGGAGCUCCGGCGAGGGGUCCCCGCGGGGUGGGGGUGCUCCAGGCGCUCGGGCGAGGGGUCCCCGCGGGGUGGGGGUGCUCCAGGCGCUCGGGCGAGGGGUCCCCGCGGGGUGGGGGUGCUCCAGGCGCUCGGGCGAGGGGUCCCCGCGGGGGUGGGGGUGCUCCAGGAGCUCCGGCGAGGGGUCCCCGCGGGGUGGGGGUGCUCCAGGCGCUCGGGCGAGGGGUCCCCGCGGGGUGGGGGUGCUCCAGGCGCUCGGGCGAGGGGUCCCCGCGGGGUGGGGGUGCUCCAGGAGCUCCGGCGAGGGGUCCCCGCGGGGUGGGGGUGCUCCAGGCGCUCGGGCGAGGGGUCCCCGCGGGGUGGGGGUGUUCCAGGCGCUCGGGCGAGGGGUCCCCGCGGGGUGGGGGUGCUCCAGGCGCUCGGGCGAGGGGUCCCCGCGGGGUGGGGGUGCUCCAGGAGCUCCGGCGAGGGGUCCCCGCGGGGUGGGGGUGCUCCAGGAGCUCCGGCGAGGGGUCCCCGCGGGGUGGGGGUGCUCCAGGCGCUCGGGCGAGGGGUCCCCGCGGGGUGGGGGUGUUCCAGGCGCUCGGGCGAGGGGUCCCCGCGGGGUGGGGGUGCUCCACGAGCUCCGGCGAGGGGUUCCCGCGGGGUGGGGGUGCUCCAGGAGCUCCGGCGAGGGGUCCCCGCGGGGUGGGGGUGCUCCAGGCUCUCCGGCGAGGGGUCCCCGCGGGGUGGGGGGGUGCUCCAGGCGCGCGGGCCCCUAACCUCGGCGGGUCGGGGCGGGCGCGGGGGCCGGCGGGGGGGCGGAGCCGGGCCAAAGCGCCGCGGAGUUCGCCCGAGUCCCGGCCGCCGCUCCUCCCUCCCGCCUCUCCCCACCCCGCGCCGCCCCCUCGGCUCUUCCCUCCUCUCUCCGGACGCCGCCUCCCGGAAUCCCUUUUCUCUGUUGUUUUGGAGCUAGGUCCUCGCUGGCGGCGCCGAGGGGCCGCGGGCGCGCGACGCGGAGGCGGGCGGGGGCACGGGCCGGGGCAGUGGCCGCCGCCCCCCGGGGACCCCGGCCGCGCGGACCCGGAGCGCCACCGACCCCGCGCACUGCCGCCCCGGGGCGCGCCCUCCGGCUCCCGCGGCGGGGUGACCCCGGGCCGGGCUCGGACUCCGAGCGGGCCCGCAAGUGCUGCGGAGCCGGCGGACAAAAGAGGCCGCUCAGCUGGUGGCCAGAAGUGCCGGGGCGCCUCGUCGCGCCCCCUCCGUCCUCGGAGUGGGGGGCUCGGGCGGGGAGGGCGCCGGGGUCGCCGAGGUGGCGGCCUGUUGUGUAAGCCUCAGUGCUUGUUUCCC